AGGAAGGCCAGAUUUGGUCACAGUGAUCUCAGAGGACAGUGCCUGGACACGAUAUUCUGUGUUUGUGCUUGCAAUCUCAGAAACAGCACGAGAUUGUGGAGGCUUCACGAACUCUGAAACUUUGCUCACGAGUUGCAAGCAAAGCUGUGAGUUUUCCAAAGGUUAUUUGGCCAGAAGAGGAUGUCAGCACACAGAAGAAGAGACCACCACUGCUGGCCUUUCCAGUUCCAGCCGGACACCGCGGAGCACUGUUGACAACCGUGCAGGGCUCAUUCUCCUUCACAGAGAGGGGGCCGGGUGCGCCUCCCAGCCCAGGCCCCCAGGAGGCUCUGAGAGGGCAGAGGGGAGGGCCUUCUAAUAAGGCAUAAGCUGCUGGAAAGACAAACUCAAGCGCAAGCUGGGAGGAUCUCACUAGACCUACAAAAGUGGAAGGAAGCUGGCCGGGUGCCUGGCGCUGUGUGACCUACGCAACGAAAGGCAAGCUGAUCUUAGAAUGCUCAAAGAGGAGCAACUCUCCCAUGACCCUGUCCGUUUACACCAGAGAAGAGCAGAUAUGUCAUUCUGCUGCCAGGGCUGAGGAGGGGCAGUUUGCAUCAGGAGCAGACAAGUGGGUGCAACAGACUCUGAUUGCAAAAGUAGAGAAGAUCUCUCUGGAAGGAAACCUCCCAAUGUUUUCACCACGAGCUGUCAUGAAGAGAGACCUUGUGAAGCUCCACUCCAGCUUAGCUGCUUGCAAGGACAUCCCAGUUUCCAGGCACCAAAGUCUGGUAAAGCAGUCACUCAGCCUUCGGCUCCAGGCAGCCCCCUCAGGGAUGUUCUACUUGCUCUUCCACCCUUGGAGGCCGGGCUACCACUGUGUUCCGAAAACUGAUGAGCAUCCAGCGGGCAGCUCGCAGUCAGCUCCCCAGGCUGAUACUGGUUCCCUGACUGACCCUGAGCUAACAUCCAUGCCCAUCUUCCUCUACUUUAUAUGUGGGACGCCUGCCACAGUAUGGCCUGAUAAGUGAUGCACGGGUCCACACAUGGGAUCCGAACUGGUGAACCCUGGGAGGCCAAAGUGGAACGUGUGAACUUAACUGCUACACCAGCGGGCCAGCCCCUAGGGUGAAGCGUGCCCGUGGGAAGACCCUCUACCUCUCCAGACACUUGGAUAAAGCAGUGGUCAAUGAGAGAUGGUGGCUUCCACCCAUUCUCUCAGUGAUGUCUGGGUUCGGAAGGCCUCCAGGUUCAACCAUCUGCAAAGGAACAAAAUGAAAAUUCAUUUUCCACAUGGUGAAAUGAAUGUCAUUCUUAUUUUAGUUUGUCAUAGAAAUCUUCUCUUUACCGCAAGAACUAUUCUUCAACUUAAACUGAAAUUGGAGAAUGCAUAUGGGCUACCUAUAAGUGGUUGAAUGCAAUUUUUUUAGAAUUUUAUGUGCUAUCAAUUAAACAUGUUUUCAUAACUGAGACACAAAUGUGAACAACGUUUUUGUUUUCAUUGUCAAGAUUUUCUAAUGGUGUGAAGGAGAAGGUAGAAAUUGGAGGCAUUCAGGGAAGAAGAUCAGUUGAGAAUUGAUAUUUGAACCUCUCUCUUACUUGUUCUUCAGUAAUAUCUUUGUCCAAAUCCAUAGAACA
rnacentral:lncRNA from 1 species